rnacentral:rRNA from 1 species
CGCGUAGGCGGGAUGGCAAGUCGGUCGUGAAAUCCUUCGGCUCAACCGAAGAACGUCGAUCGAUACUGCCGUUCUCGAGGGUUGCAGAGGAGACUGGAAUUCCCGGUGUAGCGGUGAGAUGUGUAGAGAUCGGGAGGAACACCGGUGGCGAAGGCGGGUCUCUGGGCAACUCCUGACGCUGAGGCGCGAAAGCGUGGGAGCAAACG